UUAAGGCAACCUAGCAAUCCAGCCCAAUUUUGCAAUUCUCAUUCGUAUCUCCCCAAUCCCAAAUGAACCCUUAAGCGAUCGACGGCGAAACAAAGGCGAAUCGAAGGCCAGCGACUCCGUCAUCUCUCCAUCCCAUCUUCAUCCAUCUCCUCGAAGGCGUUCGGUCAUUUUUUUUCCUCAAGUCUUUCAGUUGUUUUUUCGUCAUUCAAAUCCGCCACCGGCCCACCACCGUCUUCUCCAGCUAAAUCUGCAGCCAAAAUUAGGUGAGCGUGGGGUGAGAGGAGAAACGAGGGCGAAUCCGGAAAAUUAUGAUAUUGUGUUAUCUGGAAAUAAGGCCAUGCAGUUUCUAUGGGCUUCAUCUUGCGGUGAUGCUAAUAUCCUGGAGACAUCGUUCAGCAACAUGCUUAAAAGCAAUUCUAAGAAACCACAAUAAUGCUACAUAGCCACAUAGUUUGACACAAAACUUGACACAAUGAGUGGAAAAUGGAAAAAAAAAUAAUAAUAAUAAAGAGAAAGAAAAAAACUAGCGCCACUGAAAAUUGGGUGAAAUUUGAAAAUUUUAAAAUCGGCCCACUUGUUAAAAUCGACCCGGCCCAGUUGUUAAACCCGUAUCUCGGCGAAAACCCGUUUCAUUUUGUCAUUUUCACUUCGAAUUAAAACCCGUGUCUAGGUCUUUCGAACUCUUCGUCCUUAUUGUGGCGCGAUCUGUAGGCCUCAGCCGGUUGCAAUGGCGCGAUCUUGUUACCAGAUCCAACUGCAUCCCUUCUCUCCUGUACAUGGCGCAUGACAAAUACCUAUUUUGGCUGGAAAAGAAAUCGAACUACAGUGGCUGGUAGAGAAACCCAUUUCAUCAUUCUUGAAUAAUCUUAAUCAAUAGGUAUUUGACUAAUAUUUUAGGUUAAUUAGACACUUACUAUGCAUAUUUUGUAAAUCCAAAAUUCUAACUUGUUGAUUGCGUCGUCUGCGUGUACUACAUUGAAUGAAGAAGGGGUUGGCAUUGGGAAAAGACUCUAGAAGUAGAUGAACCUAACAUUUUUCAGCCGAGAGAUGAUCGAAAAAGGUAUUGGUUUCCUUCUUUACCGUUUGGAAUUAGGGGAUUUGUAAUGUGAUUUUCUCUCUUUACAGUUUCUUGACUUGGUUACUGAUAGAUGGUCUCACAUUGCGAUAUAAGUAGGUAGACUGUUUAUGUUUUAAUUUGCCCUUUGAAUUCUGUCUAUGUUUUAAUUUUCCCAUGGAUUGAUGACGUGAGAAUAAACUGCGUUAUCUAUCUGAAAUUUUCAAACUGGAGUUGAAGAAUACAUUAAGCUUGUCGAGAUCCAAUCGGUACUCAAUUAUUAUUAUUUUCAUUUCCUACAAAUUAUUAAUUUUUAUUAGGUUAUAUGAGACGAGAGUGAGCAUCAAUGAUGAGCUUUAUCUGAAUUGUUAUCCUUGCACUUUGAUUGUUAGUGAAGAAAACCCAUGGGGAUUCACAAGUCUGAGAUGCUCAUUGGACAUUUCUAUAUAAUUCUCUUGCUGUAUUUUAGUUUCCUUAAUUUUUUGCUUCUUCUCGUUUUGAUUUGAACCAUUAUAUUUUCUACUUUUCUUCAAACGAUUAUUUGCAUUGUAGUCCACCGUAAUUUGACUAGUUUCUAUUUGAAUUAUAGUUACAUAAAUUAUUUGACAUGUUAAAUAAUUUGUUUGAUGAAGGGAAAGAAAUUUCGGAAUAUGUGGAUGAAAUUAUACCGGUAGAGUGCGAUAAUGAGGAUGUUGUGGAUAUUAUGAAUGUAGCGGGUGAUGAUACGUUAGUUGGAGAUGAUGUGAUUGUGCCCGAGCCGGGUAUGAAAUUCAAGGAUGAGAAUGAAAUUUUCGAUUUGUACAAAAGAUAUGCAUACGAAAUUGGUUUCCCGGUUAGGAAACGAAAUUCGGUAAAGGAUGAUGACGGAGUAUGGAGAAAUGUUAUAUUUGUUUGUAGCCGUGAAGGGAAAAGAAUAAAAAACACAAGCGGUUCUUUGAAACUGCAAGCAACCAUGCAGAGUGGAUGUAAAGCCAGGAUCUGCGCAUCCAAAGAUGUUUGUGGAAUAUGGAAGAUUAACAAGGUACAUCUAGACCACAAUCAUAAGACAAGCCCUUCGAAGUCUAGGUUGUAUCGACGCUACUGAGAGUUGAGUGCACAUGUUAAACGAAGACUCGAAGUGAAUGACAUGGCAGGAAUUCCAUUACACAAGAGCUUCAACUCUACAGUUGUUGAAGCGGGUGGGUAUAAGAAUUUGAGUUGCAUCGAGAAGGAUUGUCGUAACUAUGUUAAGAAAGUUAGGCGUUUAAGACUUGUACAAGGGGACGCAUCAGCACUGCAAUCAUACUUCUCUAAAAUGUAGGCACAGUGCGCGGGCUUUUACUUUAGUAUAGAUCUGGAUGACGAUUUGCGUCUAAAGAAUGUUUUUUGGGCAGACUAUAGGAGUAGGCAAGCAUAUAAAGAGUUCGGUGAUGUUGUCACAUUUGACACCAUAUACCUCACGAAUAAGUACGAUAUGCCAUUUGCUCCUUUUGUUGGAGUGAACCACCAUGGACAGUCGACACUCCUUGGAUGUGGUCUGGUCUCGAAUGAGGAUACAGAGACAUUUGUCUGACUUUUUCGAACCUGGCUGCAAUGCAUGCAUGGAUAGGUUCCGCAUGGGAUAGUUACGGAUCAGGAUAGGGCUAUGCAAAAUGCAAUCCAGAUUGUGUUUCCUAAUACAAAGCAUAGAUGGUGUUUGUGGCACAUAUUGAAGAAGUUGCCUGAGUAGUUCGGAUACCAUGUGGAUAAGGGGUCUAUAUUCACUACUAUACAUAGUUUGGUCUACGAUUGUCAGUUUGUAGAAGAUUUCGAAAACGGUUGGAGAGUGAUGGUAGAAAGGUUUCACUUAUAUGAGAAUGAGUGGUUAGCGGGUUUGUACGAGAACAGAGAAUGUUGGGUACCUUGCUAUCUAAAAACCACAUUCUGGAUAGGGAUGUCAACUACUCAAUGCAGUGAGAGUAUGUAUGUAUUUUUUGAUGGUUAUGUACAUUCGAAGACAACGUUGAAGCAAUUUGUUAAACAAUAUAAACAAACAUUGAGAAAUAAGGUUGAGAAAGAGUUUCAAGCAGACUUCAAGUCGUUCUAGCAAAUGGUACCAUGCGCAUCGAGAUAUGGAAUUGAGAAGCAAUUUCAAGCAGUUUACACAAUUUCGAAAUUUAAGGAAGUUCAAGAGGAGUUCACGGGUAAAAUGUACUGCGACCUUGUUUCUGUCUCUGAGGGAUUAUCGGGGGCAACGUACGAGGUACGGGAGGAUGUAAUAAAUGACGAGCAUUCGAAGAAAAAAAGUUUUUUUUGUCUCAUUUCAAAGAGAUAAAUGUGAAAUCACUUGCAAUUGCCACAACUUUGAGUUUCGAGGGAUUAUUUGUAGACAUAUGAUCGCAGUAUUGGUCCGUAAUGAUGUGAAAUCCAUACUCGAAAGAUAUAUAUUACGGAGAUGGCGACGAGAUGUGAGUAGGGCCCACACGAGGUUAGCAGUGAACUAUGAUGGUUUGAUUAGUAUGCCAUGGCAAUUGAAGUACGACAAAAUGUGUCAACGCUUUGCGACAUUGGCCGAUCUGACAACAGAAGAUGAAGCGAAAUUUGAUGCAAUAAUUGAUUGGAUUGACAGUUAAUGUCAAGAGAUGAUGGAAACAAAUCGUACUAACAGUAAUGUCCUCUCCCCACAUAUGACUCGGACAUCAUUCCAAUGUGGAGCUCUAGAGGAUACUGCAAGCGGUAACAUAAGGGAUCCAGAAUGUGUGAAAAGAAAAGGUGCCCCAAAGAAACUUCGGAAGAAGAGCCCAUUAGAAACCAUUUCGAGCAAAGUUAAGGCAAGUACGGGUUCUACCAAACGGGAGAAAACGAAGGUUCCUGGAAGUGAUAUGGGAAUGGUUGCAGCGCCCAUUCUCCAGUCGUCUCAACAACUACACAUGUCGCUACCGUUCUCCUAUACGAACCUCCUUUUGGUGGGAACCAAAAUCUUCAUUUCACAUAACACUUGCAAUCCACGUGUCUAAACCCUUCAUUGGCAACAACUCCUACAUUAAAUAUGCAAGGUUUAGGAAUGCAUUUUGAUGGAGGAAACACGGAUGCACCUACGGAAGUUGGACCGUCUAUCACAUUAUCAAACCCAAAAGAUGCACCCGUCCCAAAUGAUGUACAGCGAAAUUCAAGACCUUCUCAAGAACAUGUACAACACUCCGUUGAAGGCAGAGGGCUAAUCAAGUGACCUUCACUCUCUUCGUGCAAUUCCUCGAGUUUUAUCUAUGCAUAUGUUAGAAUUUUAAUGUAUGACUUAGGAAUGAACUUUUAGUUUGCAGGGUGAAUGGUUUGUAAACCUUGUUUUUGCGCUAAUUCCUUGUGGGAAGUCUGGAUGCAAGUUAUUUCUAUGUUUUAAUGUACUUGUGCAUGUAUUUUUGAGCAAUUUUCUUCUACUUAUGCUUUUGCCAA